AAUUGUUUUUUUUUUGGGCCAGAGCCUUGUAUUUUGACUUUAUUUUGGAUGACUAGCUAAAACUGUAGCUGCUUGCUUAUAUGUAGCUAGAGAAUUAAAGUGAGAAUUUUUUUUAUGGAUGGUUUGGUGGAAAAACUUACAAAAGAACAGAUGAUAUGUCAAUGUUACAUUUUUAGAAGUAACCUCUUUCAGCUCCUGGGCAUCUGUGUGGCAGGGAAAAAAAAGGGGGCUAGAUGAAGUAAAGUAUUAGUCAAUUUAGUCACAAAAAGGCAUUCUCUUCACCAACACUCUUUUUUGUGCCACACAAAUGCCCAAGCUAAGGUGCUUACUGCUAAAAAGUAAACGAGCAACGUCAUGCUGAAAUUAAUUUAUAUCUGGGGGUAGAAUAAGUGAGACCACAUCAGGUAAAAUUGGCUAAUUACCCAAUUUAAAGAUUUUUGAAGAAUAUAUAGGAAUUCCAAAAUGAAUUAAAUUUACUUUUCUCAGCUGAUAUAUCUUCUCUUUUCAAGAACAGGUAUUACCUUCCAAUGGAUUUCUACAAAUGCAUUUGCCUGUUGUAUGUUUUCUCUCCCUGUGUGCAUGCACACUUUAUUUAAUGUACUCUAACGCAAAAUCAAAACAUUUUACAUUUCACCCCGUUUCCAGAAGGUUUUUUUUAGUUCAGCAAACAAGAAAAAAUGUAUCUUAUAUAUUAAUUCCCUUGCGUGAGUAAAACUGUGAGUCCACGACACGGAAAUCACGGGUCACUUUCUUAUGACGUGGCCGUACGCUAAAAUUUAACUAAAAAAAUUAGGGUUGUACUGCAUAGAAAUCGCACAUAAGGUGUAAAUAUAUAACCCGCUGCUAAUAACGAUAUAAAUAUAUAUACCCUUAUGCCAAAAAACUCUAUGUUAGCAUAUAUAUAUAGGUAUCGCUACAUAUGAAACGGUAUUAGAUAUUCACAAAGCAUACGGACUGUUAAAUGAAGUUCCUAGCAUAAAACGGAAAUUGUGUUUACUAAAAAGAUGGCUGUUCUUUUUGAGUAUUCUCUACUCUUUCAUUCAAAAUAAAUCUUUAAAAAAACAUUUGAAGAAGAGCAUGGUUUUAUAAAUUAAUCAUAGCAAGGUUCUGUAAGGUUUUUUCAUGUUUUAUUUUCAGUUUUGAUUAUAUUAUUGUUGCCAGACAUGUUUUAUAGCUUGCACACUUUAUUUAAUGUACUCUAACGCAAAAUCAAAACAUUUUACAUUUCACCCCGUUUCCAGAAGGUUUUUUUUAGUUCAGCAAACAAGAAAAAAUGUAUCUUAUAUAUUAAUUCCCUUGCGUGAGUAAAACUGUGAGUCCACGACACGGAAAUCACGGGUCACUUUCUUAUGACGUGGCCGUACGCUAAAAUUUAACUAAAAAAAAUUAGGGUUGUACUGCAUAGAAAUCGCACAUAAGGUGUAAAUAUAUAACCCGCUGCUAAUAACGAUAUAAAUAUAUAUACCCUUAUGCCAAAAAACUCUAUGUUAGCAUAUAUAUAUAGGUAUCGCUACAUAUGAAACGGUAUUAGAUAUUCACAAAGCAUACGGACUGUUAAAUGAAGUUCCUAGCAUAAAACGGAAAUUGUGUUUACUAAAAAGAUGGCUGUUCUUUUUGAGUAUUCUCUACUCUUUCAUUCAAAAUAAAUCUUUAAAAAAACAUUUGAAGAAGAGCAUGGUUUUAUAAAUUAAUCAUAGCAAGGUUCUGUAAGGUUUUUUCAUGUUUUAUUUUCAGUUUUGAUUAUAUUAUUGUUGCCAGACAUGUUUUAUAGCUAGCAUCAUAAAAAGCCAACCACCACCAACAACUAGCUAGCUAGCUAGGAAUAUAUAUAUAUAUAUAUAUAUAUAUGUAGCCAUGUUCUUUAUAGCUAGCUAAGUCUCCAGUUUAUAUUUAAGUGACUAGCUAUUAGCUGCUGUAGCUAGCUAAUGCUAGCUUUAAACUAAAGAUUCCCAGUAUAUAUAUAUUCCCACAAAACACAUCAAACGUUAUUAACCCUGAAAAUUUUAAACAUUUUCCUGGGUUUUUUUUGGUUUGCGAAGUUCUUUUCCUCCAAAUAUUCUGAAAAUAAAGUUCAGAAAUUACUUAUUUUUAAAAUGUAAAUUUAAUUUGUUUCAAAUUGUGGGCAAAAACCUUAAUCAGCAUGCUAAAAGAACUGACUUUUCUUAAUUUAGAAUUACUAAACACAACCAUUUUCUUACAAUUAGUGUAAACUUUUGUGCGUAUGGCUUAUAUUUAAUACACCAAAAGAGCUACUUUGUUGAUUUCAAUUUUAUACUCUUUGCUGUGUCUGUGAAACUUUAAGGGGAACAUUUGGUGGAAGACAAUGGCAUGACAUAUACUGAUAGAACUGAUUUUUGUUGUGUUAGAUGUUAUAUCUGAACCUUUUUGACAUUUUAUGUUAAUUUUACGAGGAA